UAACCAAUCAUGGCUUUGAAGCGAGCUCUACUGUUACGUUGGCAUACAUUAAACUAUUUUGCACCGUUUUUCUCCGCAUUCAAAUGCUAGCAGUCCAUGAACAAUGGCAUCUCGGAAUUCGUUUUUCCUUCUGUUCGUUAUAGGGAUGAUGUUUUUUCUACAUCAAGUGGAAGGAAAUUUGGAAGAAGACGAAUUUGAAGGUUUAGCUUUAGUUCGAGCACAUGGUAUCAUGUUUAUUCAUUCCACUGUAAGUCCAUGGUUUAUGUCAAGGCCAAGGCAGCGACCAAGGCCAAGACCAUGGUUUAGAGCAAGGCCAAGGUCAAGAUCAAGGCCAAGACCAAGACCAAGACCCAGGGACCGCCAUCGUUCAUAUUAAACAAACAAACGUCAUCGCGUGAAUAUAAAAUGUACUGGACUUAGUGACAAAUACAACUUUCCUUUAUUUUAUGUUGGAUAAAUCAUAAGUAUUUGGGGUAUACUUACAGAAAUAAAAUGUAAACAAACACA